CAGCAAAAUGGAUGGUCAUUCGUUUCUUGAUGCAACAUGAAGCUGCACAGAUCCAGAUACCCCUCCGGUGCAACAGAGGUGUUUCUCCAAACGGGUGAACAGUGUCACAUUCGUGGUCUCCGACAGGGAGAUGACAAAACUCACCAAGUAAGAUGCAGCCACUCUAGCUCUUGAGGAGAUUAGUGGCGAUGGAGUGCCAGCGCUACCAAGUUGCCUUGAAGAGCUAGCUGGCAAGUAAUGCGUUUUCCAGAUUUGUGUCACUCCAGACAGUUUCACCCCCAACCACCGUAAUGUAUCUUCACCAUCUCUGCACACAUACAAUAUCUCCUUCGGCACUCAGCCACAGAGUGGUGGCAGCAACCAAGCUCCUUUUUGGAUGUCCAAGCUGGAGAACCAACAGCAACUUCUAGCUACACCGUUGAUGGGGGGUUUGGAUGUCCAAGCUGGAGAACCAACAGCAACUUCUAGCUACACCGUUGAUGGGGGGUUUGGAUGUCCAAGCUGGAGAACCAACAGCAACUUCUAGCUACACCGUUGAUGGGGGGUUUGGAUGUCCAAGCUGGAGAACCAACAGCAACUUCUAGCUACACCGUUGAUGGGGGGGGGAAGCGAGCAAUAGGAGUUGAUGAAGCAAAUACACAUGGCUCUGAAGACGCAGAAAAAACUG